rnacentral:lncRNA from 1 species
ACUUUUAGUAAACAUAUGCUUAUAAUACUUUAAAUGUAUCAUUAAAAUUAAGUCAGAGAGACAUCAACAAAAUUGAUGCAAAUAAUAGUAUAAUAACUUUAAAAAAUAAUAGUAUGUUACUUACUGAACCAUUAAAAACAAAUGUAUAUUAUGACAUAGGAAGCUACUUACCUUGUAGUGGCCCCAACUUCAUUAUCCUUAAUUUAAAGGAACAACUCGUGAAAAUCUCAAAUUUUUUCUUUCGGGUUAUGACUAUCUUUUUCUCUUUCUUUCUCUUAGCUUUGGCUCUUUUUUUCUCUUCGCUUUCUCUAGCUUUGGCUAUCUUUUUCUCUUAUAUUUCUCUUGGCUUUGGCUCUUUUUUUUUUUCUGCCUUUAUUUUUUUCUAUGGUUUUACCUUGUUCUUUUCCAAAACUUGUCUUGGCUAUUUAUAGUGCUUGUGAACACUCCAAAAACCAACACUUAAUUGCAAGGUGUCAUAAAGUUUUUCCAAAGGAAGACAUCUAGCUAUCAAGGUGUAACACAUGUGACCAAAGAAAGACACCUAGCCUCAAGGUGUCACGUAUUCAACUAAGGGAACCACAAGGUGUCACAUUUCCAUCCAAACGAUGACACUUAGCCAUCAAGGUGUCCUAAAUUCAUCUAAGUGAUGACACCUAACCAUUAAGAUGUUCUAAAGUGAUUUAAGUGAUGACACCUAGCCAUUAAGGUGUCCUCAAUUCAUCCAAGUAAUGAUACCUAGACAUUAAGAUGUCCUAAAUUCAUCCAAGUGAUGACACCUAGUCAUUAUGGUGUCCUAAUUUUAUCAAAAUGAUGACAUCUAGUCCUUAAGGUGUCACAUAUUUUGAUUAAGGAGAAAUUUAGCCAUGUCAAGUCCUACAUGGUCGAGAUAAAUUUUCUCACUCGAGGGAAAAUUUCUUCCACCUGUGGGAUAUAUCUCUCAUUCUUCAACUCUUCCAUAUGCAUGUUGUGGUAACCCGAAUCCUAAGUUGCAUGAUUAAAUAUUUUAAAAUAAAUAUUGCAUCAUUUUAAUGAAAUUUAAGGUAAUUUGGACAUGAAAUUUUUGAAAUAUGUAGUGAUUAUAUAUGUGAUAAUAAUUAGUAAAUUAAUUUGCAUGCUUUAAGAAAAAAAAUAGAGUGGAAAACUUGUAUGAUAAGAAAAGAGAAAAACUAACCCUAGGGUAAGGAAAAUUUCCCUCCAUCAAUUAAAAGUUUUUUAGGAGAAAACAAGUUUUCCCUCAACUCAAGAUCAAUUCUCUCUUGCCCAAAUGAUCAAUUUUCUUAGUGAAAAUAAAAUGAAAGAAGGGAAAAAACAAUUGAAGUGGUAGAAUAGAAAAAUUAUCCCAUGGGAGAAAAUCUUCUCAUGAGCAAAAGAAAAUUUUUCCUCUAAAGAGAAUUAGGUUUUCCCUCGGCCAACAAAUUCUCUUGGGUAAAACAGCAUCCCAAGAGGAAGAAAAACAUUCCAAUAGGUAGAAAAACAUUCCAAGAGGGUUAGUAAAAUGAUAAAAAUCGAAAAAAAAAGAGAAUGAGAAUUAGGGUUAAGUUGGAGAAACAUCCUUCAUGAGGGAAAAAAAUGACUAUUGAGAGAGAAAUGUUUCUCUAAAAUAGGAAAAAUGUGGAAAUGUAGAAAAUGUGCAUUGAAUGAAGAGAAGACACAUGAGAAAAGAAAAUGGAACUAAAAGAAAAACAAUUGAUGAAAGAGAAAAAGAAGAGAAAUGGAUUUUCCCCUAGACAGGGAAAAAUUUUCCCCCUACUAGAGAAAAAAUUUUCUCUCAGCCAAAGUAAAAUUUUCUCAUGGCUAAAUGGCAUUUCCUAAUUAGUUAGAGACACGUGGACACAUUUUGGAACCUAAGAAGAUAGAUAGUGCUACCUAGGAUAAAUUUGAACACAUUAAAAAUUAGGUGUCCACAUUUGAAUUGAGAUUAGGACACCCCUUAACUAAGUAGCAACCUUAUGAGGAAAUGGAUAAAACUUAGACAGAAAUCCAUGCGAAACUUGAAAAAGGGAAGAGAAAACAACCAUGACAAGCCAUUAAAAUGAAAAGAAGGGAACAGUAAAAAAAUUGACCACACUUGGUCGACCAAACGAGGGGAAGGUAGCCAUUUUUCAGCUGGCCAAAAGGGGGGAGACCAACUAGCUUUGGCUAGCCAAGAAGACAGGAGAAAGAGCUAGCUAGGACGACUAGAAAAAAAAAGAUAAAGUAGGCCAUAUCAGCCUGCUUUUGUUGGUUAAAGGAAAGAGAAAGGGUAGUUGUUUCUAUUAGACGCAUGAGGCAAAUUUGUUACCUAUUUUGUCGACUGAAAAAGAAGAGAAAAAUGCCAAACUUUGUCAACAAGAAAAGGGUGAGGAUGCAACUAUGUCUUGACAAAAGUAAGGGGAAAUCAACUUAAUCAAGGCGUCAAAAAAAGAGAAGGAAACAAUCUAUGUUACCAGCCACUUGGAAGGGCAAAAAAGGAUUGGAGCUGAGGGAGAGCAAGCAAAUGAGGAGAGGUAAAGAAAAAGAGAGAAAGAUAAGAGAUUUGAGGGAGUGAUAUGUGAGGAGGCUAAGAAAUAGGUGAAAACUAAGGGAAAAAAAGGGGAAUUUUGAGGGAAAAUAAGAGAUGAAAUUAAGGAAGAGAAUGAGGAAUUUAGGGAAAAACGAAGGAAGGAAAAAAGUGAUAGAGGAAGAAGAAGGCAAGAAAUUAUGAGGGGUUCUGCUCGAAGCCGAUAAAGAAGCAAACAUAAUUCCAAAUUGAUUUUGAGGUAAAAAUAUGUAUUUUUUUUAUAGUUCUAGAAUUCGGGUUAUUUUAGCAUGAUAAACAAGUACUUUCUUGCUAAUUUAUGGAUAAAGAAGUUGGUUAAAAGCUCUUUAAAAUAGAGAGAAAAGCCACCAAACCUUAUAGGUGUAGGUUAUCCAGAAACUAUCUAGCCCAUAAGUUUUAAG